GUACACACCGCCCGUCACAUCACGAAAGCCGGCUGUACUAGAAGUCGCUGAGCUGACCCGCAAGGGAGGCAGGCGCCCACGGUAUGGUCGGUGAUUGGGGUGAAGUCGUAACAAGGUAGCUGUAGGUGAACCUGCAGAAGGAUCA
rnacentral:rRNA from 1 species